rnacentral:misc_RNA from 1 species
UCCGGUUUGUCACCGGCAGUCUCCCAUGAGUCCCCAACUAAAUGAUGGCAACAUGGAACGGGGGUUGCGCUCGUUGCGGGACUUAACCCAACAUCUCACGACACGAGCUGACGACAGCCAUGCACCACCUGUGCACUGAUCCCGAAGGAGGGCCGUAUUUCUACGGCUUUCCAGUGCAUGUCAAGCCCUGGUAAGGUUCUUCGCGUUGCAUCGAAUUGAACCACAUGCUCCGCUGCUUGUGCGGGUCCCCGUCAAUUCCUUUGAGUUUUAGCCUUGCGGCCGUACUCCCCAGGCGGGGAACUUAAUGCGUUAGCUUCGGCACGGACGGAGUCGACACCGCCCACACCUAGUUCCCAUCGUUUACGGCGUGGACUAC